CUACUGCUUGAAGAAUUUGCUUUAGAUAACAACAUUUGUCUUCUAAGGUCAAAACUUUUUCUUCAAUUUGCUUAAAUAAAUCGCCUUGAGGACAGUACUCUUGAACCAAACAAAACCCAGCGGAUUUAUUAAAUACGCUUGUCAAAGUCACACAAGGGCAGAUAACUUUCAGAAUAUUAGGAUGGUCCAAUUUUGGUUGGAUUGACCAUUCCCUUAAAAAAUAAACCAUUGUAUUCAAUCUUUUUUUAUGCGAUGUUUUCGUUUUCCGAUAUACUUUGGCAGCAUAGUAUAUCUUUGCGUCGGUGAUUUUAUCUCUGUGAGUUACAACCUUGAUUGUAGAGGUGGCCCCUUUAGCUAUUGAUUUUAGAUGCUGAAAGUCUAAGCGAAAUCUUAUUUCGGGUAAUAUACGCUUCAGUGAAGGAUCUAAUCCAAUUGCGAAGUCAGACAUUCCAAUAAACGAAGGUUGAAUUGAAUGAACGGAAAGUAAGCUAGUAUUACUGUCUAAGUAUUCAUUUUCUAACCAUGGUGCAGUAAUUGUACUUGGCUUUAUAACGACGGAAGACUUCUUGGUUGUUGAUUUAGAAACAUUUAUUGAAAAAAAUUGGAAGAACUCUUUAGGAAAUCUCCCAAAAAUAUUUUCAAUCGAAAGACUAUUCUUAUUCUCUGAAUUCCUUUGAAUUGCUGAAUUGUCCACGAAAAUUGUCCCCUGGCGAAAAAAAGGAUAAUUAGUCAUUAGUGACAAGCCGCUGAAGCUAAGAAG